UCCUACGGGAGGCAGCAGGGAGGGAUAUUGGGCAAUGGGCGAAAGCCUGACCCAGCAACGCCGCGUGAAGGAUGAAAGCCUUCGGGUUGUAAACUUCUUUUAGGGGAGACGAGAAAGGACGGUAUCCCCAGAAUAAGCCACGGCUAACUACGUGCCAGCAGCCGCGGUAAUACGUAGGUGGCGAGCGUUAUCCGGAUUCAUUGGGCGUAAAGAGCUUGUAGGUGGCUAUGUAAGUUGGACGUAAAAACUCCGGGCUUAACUUGGAGAGGCCGUUCAAUACUGCGUAGCUUGAGUAUGUCAGAGGGAAGUGGAAUUCCUGGUGUAGCAGUGAAAUGCGUAGAUAUCAGGAGGAACACCCGUGGCGAAGGCGGCUUCCUGGGACAUAACUGACACUGAGAAGCGAAAGCUAGGGGAGCAAACGGGAUUAGAAACCCCGGUAGUCCUAGCUGUAAACGAUGGAUGCUAGGUGUGGGCAGAACUAACCCUGCGCGUGCCGAAGCUAACGCGUUAAGCAUCCCGCCUGGGAACUACGAGCGCAAGCUUAAAACUCAAAGGAAUUGACGGGGACCCGCACAAGCAGCGGAGCGUGUGGUUUAAUUCGAUGCUACACGAAGAACCUUACCCAGGUUUGACAUACAGGUAGUAGUGAAGCGAAAGCGGAACGACCCGCAAGGGAGCCUGAACAGGUGUUGCAUGGCUGUCGUCAGCUCGUGUCGUGAGAUGUUGGUUUAAGUACCCUAACGAGCGCAACCCUCGUUGCCAGUUACAAGUGUCUGGCGAGACUGCCGGCCGCAAGCCGGAGGAAGGCGGGGAUGACGUCAAGUCAGCAUGGCCUUUAUAUCUGGGGCUACACACACGCUACAAUGGGCAGCAACAAUGGGUCGCCAAGCCGCGAGGUGGAGCCAAUCCCAUAAAACUGCCCUCAGUUCAGAUUGCAGGCUGCAACCCGCCUGCAUGAAGUCGGAGUUGCUAGUAAACGCGCGUCAGCUAUAGUGCGUUGAAUACGUUCCCGGGCCUUGUACACACCGCCAUCGGAUCCC
rnacentral:rRNA from 1 species